UCCAUCAUUCAUUCAUCCAUUCAUCAUUCCUUCAUCCAUCCAUCAUUCAUUCAUCCAUCCAUCAUCCAUCCAUUCAUCAUCCAUUCAUUCAUCCAUCAUUCAUUCACUGACCAUUAUCAAGUGGGUGAAAAGAUAGUUCAGGGAACAGGAGAAACUCUGUCCCUCUGUGUGCUAAGUGUCUGUGUAGGACAGGUGAAGAACUGCAGCUCAGCCAGGCAGACCAGUUUAAAGGAUGUGGUGUCCUCAGACUACUUUACUAGUCUGUGUGGGACCCUGGGUUUGAUCUCUAGUAGCACAAAAGACAGCUGGGAUGGGCAGGCUGGGGUAGGGAGAAAUUCUAAUAGAUAUUUCUCUAAAUGAUCCAUCAUCACAAAGAAAAAAAAAA
rnacentral:lncRNA from 1 species